AUGUAUCAGGAGAAGAACUGCUUCCAUCUAGGAGGGCUGGAUGCAGUCUCCAAGUCUGAUGACAGCCCAGAGUCCUUCAAGACAUCUACAGCUGACAUUCCAGGACAAUGUUGUGAUGGCAUGAAAGAGCUCAGAGGGGGUGCUGUAAACAUUGCCACUUUUCAGAUGAACUAUAUUUUCCAGCUGGGAGGUUCUGUGAUUACAAGUGUGAAGGGGGAAGUUGCUCUCUUCACUGACUUCAUGUUCAAAAGUGCUUGACUUCCACUGGGACUUAGCCCUGUUGAAAAACAAGGCAUUUAUUUACCCGCCUGUCUUUGGAUGUCAAGGGUGAGUUUUCCACAGAUGUAGAAACUUCCUAAGUGAACCUUAAUAGACCUAAAUGCCUGAAGCUGUUUUGAAGAUCACAAGCUUGCAAUGUUCAUGGAAGGUGUGUUUGUACAUCUAAUGUAUACCUUGUCCAAACCUUGCUAGGUGACUGUUGCGUGUGUUAUCAGCUAAGCUACAAAGUACGCUAUAAAGGUCUACACAUAUAUGAACAGACUGUAAUGAAGACUUUUCACUGAGGAGGCUAUUCAUAGGUAAUUCAGCCUUUCUGUGUACAAAGGUUAAUGAAAAUGGUUCUGACAUAAGGAAAAGUGAAAACUGAGCUCCACAGUUUUGAUGUUAUGUAGACCUGACUCUAGUUCAGCUUCUGUGUAGCUGCAGCCUGGGGCUUAUAAUGAACGGAUUUAUCCUGAGUAGUCUUGAAAGAAUUGCAUAGUCUCUUAGUGCCAUUGCUUCACACAUCUUAGUAGAACAAGUGUCUGUCUGUAGGUCAAGAAAAAAACCCCUUAAUACAAGAGAGUUUUAUUUUAUUAACAACUAUUUGUCUUGUUUGAAAUUCUCAGUGUAUAUCUUCAUGGUUCUGCUAUUUAUUCUUGUUUUCAAAAAAUAAGAAUAAUUUAGGGGUUUACUUCCACAGGGACAAAGCUCUGAUGCCCUGAAUACACUGUCUAGUAUCUUACUUUAUCAUUAGUUCCACUGGGUUCAUUGCUACUAAUUGUGGUGCAAAGUAUCCUUCAGACUGAGGAAAACUUCACAAUCUGUUUUAAGCCUUUUAUUACUGCAGUGCAGUCAUCCACUCCUCCACUCCUCUUCACUGUUUACUGCAGGUCCCAGAUUUUUGUCUGCCUUUAUAGUGUGUGUAUUGAAGCUCAGAUUGCCUCUGAGCAAGCAUUCAUUACUCGGGUAGUCAGCCCUAUCUCUGCUCCUGCAUAGUAAUCCCUGUUGCCAGUCCCUACAGAGUACUUGUGGCUCUCCCUGUGUAAUAAUUUUGUGAAGUAGAAUGGGGGCAUGAGCCAGGUAACACAGAUCACUUUGCUGUUUUCAGCUGUAUCCCUUCUCUGAUGUAAUCCACUUCUCAUCCAUCUCUACAAAUGGCGUGGAGAAGGAGCAGCUGCAGAUGGACAGAGCUACUGAGCUCAGUUGUACCACUGCCUGUUUUGCCUUUUCUGCUUGGAAAGUCUGUCUCACUUCAGUUCACCACCAAGCCAUUUAAUAAGGGUUGUGCUGAAGUCUCCUAUGGGCUCAUGCCUAUCAGCUGAUGGCACACUGACUGUAACUUUUCUUAUUGGAGUCUUUGUAAGCUCCUGUGUAGAUUCUUGUAAGCUCAUGUCAAGUAUUUCCCCGUGUAACUGGAAUUUAUGAAAAAGCAUUUAUGAUUCUGUGUUUUUCUUUGCUACCUUCAUUCCGAAAACAUCUUGAACUUUAUUUCAGAGUGAUCUUUAUCCAGUUGUAAAAUCUGGUUAAAAUUGUUCAGUGGCUUUAAAGGUAUAGGAUAAGUAGAAAAGGGAAUACUAAAAAGGCAGCAAGGCUGAAUAAAUCUUUUUAAAUUAAGAAAGCA
rnacentral:lncRNA from 14 species